rnacentral:rRNA from 1 species
AGUGGCGGACGGGUGAGUAACGCGUGAGAAUCUGCCUUGGGGUCGGGGACAACCACUGGAAACGGUGGCUAAUACCGGAUAAGCCGAUUGGUGAAAGAUUUAUUGCCCGAAGAGGAGCUCGCGUCUGAUUAGCUAGUUGGUGAGGUAAGAGCUCACCAAGGCAGCGAUCAGUAGCUGGUCUGAGAGGACGAUCAGCCACACUGGGACUGAGACACGGCCCAGACUCCUACGGGAGGCAGCAGUGGGGAAUUUUCCGCAAUGGGCGAAAGCCUGACGGAGCAAGACCGCGUGAGGGAGGAAGGCUCUUGGGUUGUAAACCUCUUUUCUCAGGGAAGAAGCUCUGACGGUACCUGAGGAAUCAGCCUCGGCUAACUCCGUGCCAGCAGCCGCGGUAAUACGGAGGAGGCAAGCGUUAUCCGUAAUUAUUGGGCGUAAAGCGUCCGCAGGUGGCGAUUCAAGUCUGCUGUCAAAGCACGGGGCUUAACUCCGUAAAGGCAGUGGAAACUGAAUAGCUAGAGUGCCGUAGGGGUAGAGGGAAUUCCCGGUGUAGCGGUGAAAUGCGUAGAGAUCGGGAAGAACAUCGGUGGCGAAAGCGCUCUACUGGACGGCAACUGACACUCAGGGACGAAAGCUAGGGGAGCGAAUGGGAUUAGAUACCCC